AAUAGGAGAACGACUAAUCAGAUUUUUCUCCUAAUUUUUAGUUUUUUAUCCUAAAAAAAUUCAAGUCCAAUUAAAAAUGCUAAAAAUCAGGAGGAAAAAUCUGAUUUUUCAUUCUCCUAUU
rfam:Gossypium arboreum cultivar AKA8401 contig_58360_1, whole genome shotgun sequence.